CCUACGGGAGGCUGCAGUGGGGAAUAUUGGACAAUGGGGGGAACCCUGAUCCAGCCAUGCCGCGUGUGUGAAGAAGGCCCUCGGGUUGUAAAACACUUUCAGUGAGGAAGAACGCCUGGUGGUUAAUACCCAUCAGGAAAGACAUCACUCACAGAAGAAGCACCGGCUAACUCCGUGCCAGCAGCCGCGGUAAUACGGAGGGUGCGAGCGUUAAUCGGAAUUACUGGGCGUAAAGCGCGCGUAGGUGGCUUGAUAAGCCGGUUGUGAAAGCCCCGGGCUCAACCUGGGAACGGCAUCCGGAACUGUCAAGCUAGAGUGCAGGAGAGGAAGGUAGAAUUCCCGGUGUAGCGGUGAAAUGCGUAGAGAUCGGGAGGAAUACCAGUGGCGAAGGCGGCCUUCUGGACUGACACUGAAAAUGAGGUGCGAACGCGUGGGUAGCAAACAGGAUUAGAUACCCUAGUAGUC
rnacentral:rRNA from 1 species